UAGGGAGCGAGCGUUAUCCGGAUUUAUUGGGCGUAAAGGGUGCGUAGGCGGUUUGUUAAGUAUGAGAUUAAAGCCCGAGGCUUAACCUCGGUUCGUUUCAUAAACUGGCAGACUUGAGUAUGGCAGAGGUAAACGGAAUUUCUAGUGUAGCGGUAGAAUGCGUAGAUAUUAGAAGGAACACCAGUGGCGAAGGCGGUUUGCUGGGCCAUAACUGACGCUGAGGCACGAAAGCGUGGGGAGCAAA
rnacentral:rRNA from 1 species